CCCCGACCCGAGGAGACCUCCCCGCCGGGCGGGAAGGAGAGUCCGCCCGGGAUAUCCCCCGCCUCCGCCGGCCCAGGCCCAGGGGGAACAGAUAGAGAGACAGCGAGAGACAAAGGGGGAGCGGGGCCGCCAGACUUUCCAGCCGCAUCAGAGGAGCGGGAGCGACUCACCCUUGACUCCCGGCAAGAAUGCGCGUUGGAAUAAAGAAUGAAGCACAGUCCUUCUUCUCCGUUAUAAAAGCAUGUGAGCUGAAAAAAGACCCAUAAGCAGCAGUGAGAAUGGUUGGACUAAGAAGAAGAAUAAAAAAGGGAUAAAGCAACCUGCUUACAGACAUGCUGUAGCUGUAAUGACCUUUUCUGCAUUUUCAACUCAAUAGAAACAAAUGCCAGACUGGACACAAGCCAUACAGACAUUUAAUAGACAGCGGCCAGCAAUGCGGUGGCCAUUUGCUGGCACAUGACAAUAAAU